CCUAUGGGGUGCAGCAGGCGCAGCAGAUGCUAGCGAGGGGCAAAGGUGAGUAGCCCAAAUCUUCGAUCUGCAGCUGAGCGAAGCGCCACCGCGAACUUUGAGACCUUUAUCGCCGCAAUGCGUGCCGAUAACCCACUUCGCAUCGCUGGCUGGGAUGAUAUGUGUUGGGAACUAGGUCAGCGCAAGCGUGCAUCGAGCGGCCGCCGGGAUCGAAUCUGGUUCAACAAGAAUUUCGUCAAGAAGGUUACGGAGCACAACGCUGAGCCUUUUCCUGCCGCGUUUGGGGAGUUGUUGCGGGCCAUUGUGUGUGCGAGGGAACAGGGCAGGGCCACGCCUUUGGACUCGAACGAUCACAUGCGCCUGCUGCCCCCCAUAGG
rnacentral:rRNA from 1 species